rnacentral:rRNA from 1 species
CAACCCUUGACAUCCUCGGACCGCCAGAGAGAUCUGGUUUUCACUUCGGUGACCGAGUGACAGGUGCUGCAUGGCUGUCGUCAGCUCGUGUCGUGAGAUGUUCGGUUAAGUCCGGCAACGAGCGCAACCCACAUCUUCAGUUGCCAGCAGUUCGGCUGGGCACUCUGGAGAAACUGCCCGUGAUAAGCGGGAGGAAGGUGUGGAUGACGUCAAGUCCUCAUGGCCCUUACGGGUUGGGCUACACACGUGCUACAAUGGCAGUGACAAUGGGUUAAUCCCAAAAAACUGUCUCAGUUCGGAUUGGGGUCUGCAACUCGACCCCAUGAAGUCGGAAUCGCUAGUAAUCGCGUAACAGCAUGACGCGGUGAAUACGUUCCC